UGGGGAAUAUUGGACAAUGGGCGAAAGCCUGAUCCAGCAAUGCCGCGUGAGUGAAGAAGGCCUUCGGGUUGUAAAGCUCUUUUACCCGGGAAGAUAAUGACUGUACCGGGAGAAUAAGCCCCGGCUAACUCCGUGCCAGCAGCCGCGGUAAUACGGAGGGGGCUAGCGUUGUUCGGAAUUACUGGGCGUAAAGCGCACGUAGGCGGCUUUACAAGUCAGGGGUGAAAGCCCGCGGCUCAACCGCGGAAUUGCCCUUGAGACUGUAUCGCUUGAACACGGGAGAGGUGAGUGGAAUUCCGAGUGUAGAGGUGAAAUUCGUAGAUAUUCGGAAGAACACCAGUGGCGAAGGCGGCUCACUGGACCGUAGUUGACGCUGAGGUGCGAAAGCGUGGGGAGCAAACA
rnacentral:rRNA from 1 species